rnacentral:lncRNA from 1 species
UUAUGAGGCCUUCACGACGAUCCUGAGAAAUGCAGAUGCUAAGAGGACUCCAUUCUGAUGACUGUCUAUAUCAAGGCCUCCUACCCUCAGGGAAUUGGGUGAGCUGUUCCUGUUGAUGAAGCUAUGGGGCUCUCCUAUGGGAGAUACCAGUAUUUGCAUAUGGGACUUGGUGCCUAGAUUGGAGCUGGCUUUGGGACACUCUCUACAGUGCAAGUUCAUCUAACCAUGUGCUUAGAAGCUCCAGAGUGGAGCUCUCACUCACCUGGAGGUUGCCUCAAGAGAUGACAGUCAAUCUACAAUGCAAAAUAUGCCUGCUGUGAAAUUAUUUCCUACUUGGAGAGUUUCAGCCACCUUUACAACCUAGUUCUGCCCACAAGGACACCAAUGGUCACCAGCUUGAUCACCUGGUAGAUAGGGCACUAAAGCAAGUUUUGUGGAUCCUCACCUGAUGCUUCGUCUGCUGCUUGUCAUUCAUGCUACACCCCCUUUUAAAAGUGCCUGCUUUCUGCUCCAAAAGCAAAGUGUUACCCUUAAGGCAGGAAGCCUGUACUUCUUCCCCCUAAGCUAGUUUUGGAAUAAAAAUGUCACUUUCUUUAUACCAGCCCUCACUCUUGUUAAUUAGACUCUGCAAAUAGUAAGCAACUGAACCUGUGUUUCAGUUACAGUCACAUAGGCAGGUGGCCUAAAUCCCUUUCAAAGAAGGACUGACUUCCCAGCUGGGGGUGGAUGAGAUGGGGUGUGCAGUGAGCUACUUCAGAG